rnacentral:rRNA from 1 species
GGAAUCUUCCGCAAUGGACGAAAGUCUGACGGAGCAACGCCGCGUGAGUGAUGAAGGUUUUCGGAUCGUAAAGCUCUGUUGCCAGGGAAGAACGCUAAAGAGAGUAACUGCUCUUUAGGUGACGGUACCUGAGAAGAAAGCCCCGGCUAACUACGUGCCAGCAGCCGCGGUAAUACGUAGGGGGCAAGCGUUGUCCGGAAUUAUUGGGCGUAAAGCGCGCGCAGGCGGUUGAUUAAGUCUGGUGUUUAAGGCUGUGGCUCAACCACAGUUCGCACUGGAAACUGGUUGACUUGAGUGCAGAAGAGGAAAGUGGAAUUCCACGUGUAGCGGUGAAAUGCGUAGAGAUGUGGAGGAACACCAGUGGCGAAGGCGACUUUCUGGGCUGUAACUGACGCUGAGGCGCGAAAGCGUGGGGAGCAAACA